UUUGUUUGUCAGUACUUUGUACACAUCCAUCCCUCUCUAUUUCUCUCUCUCUUUCUCCAUCAUAUUUCAUGUCAGAAUAUAUUCAUCAGAAAAUCCUUCAGGAAUCAGGAAAACUCUGAGUUCUUUUGAUUUUCCGAUACAUUUGAGAAACAGUGUUGUUUUUGUGAAGAUCAGAGUAAGCUAAUAAGCUACCUUUUCAUGAGGUGAUUUGGCUUGUGAUUGAUUCUGUGAUGAUGAAGAAGGGCCUACUAUUCUUGAGGCAUCAUGAUGAUCAUGUUGAAGUACCCUUGAGGUUUGGUGAAAUCUGAUUGGCCAUGAAGGGAACAUUUCUAGUGUAGCUGCAGGUCUGGGUGCUGUUGUGAAUAAAGCUGCAAGAAUCACAAAAGUAAAAUCUGAGAGGAUCACCAAACCAUAAAGGACUGUUGAAGCCUAUACCAAAAUAAAUAAUAUCAUAGAAAAAGAGAA